rnacentral:lncRNA from 1 species
UUGACUUCUUGUAAAAAUCCUCAAAAUUUUGAUCUCAUUCCAUUAAGCUUAUCUAGCAUACUAAUCUAUAUUCUCAUCAUACUUGUAGAAGUAAAACUUCUUAGAUUUGGUUGUGAGAUUAAUUUACUUGUUUCUUUCAAUUGCACAACUUCUUAUUGUAGAUACUGAACUUCUUUUAUAGACAUAGGAUUAGUAUUUCUAUGGUUGGUACUGAUGAUGCAUAAAAUUUUCACUCUAAAAAUGUUGACAAGUUCUUAAAGAUUUUUAAUAGUUGCAAAUCUAUUCUCACUUCCACCAGCUGUAACAUUAAUAAUUUUUUCUUCUAUUUCAAGCAACUUAUCAAAUCUAUAAAUCAAAUUAUAAGAGGAUAGUCUGCAACCUCUAGUAUUUAAUGAAAAUUUCCACAAAGAAGGAUAAUCCACUCUCUUUAAAGAAAAAAA